GACGAACGCUGGCGGCGUGCUUAACACGUGCAAGUCGAACGGAAAGGCCCCUUUGGGGGUACUCGAGUGGCGAACGGGUGAGUAACACGUGAGUAACCUGCCCUUGACUUCGGGAUAACUUCAGGAAACUGGGGCUAAUACCGGAUAGGAAUCCUUGCUGCAUGGUGGGGGUUGGAAAGCUUCGGCGGUUUUGGAUGGACUCGCGGCUUAUCAGCUUGUUGGUGGGGUAGUGGCUUACCAAGGCUUUGACGGGUAGCCGGCCUGAGAGGGCGACCGGCCACAUUGGGACUGAGAUACGGCCCAGACUCCUACGGGAGGCAGCAGUGGGGAAUAUUGCACAAUGGGCGGAAGCCUGAUGCAGCAACGCCGCGUGCGGGAUGACGGCCUUCGGGUUGUAAACCGCUUUCAGCAGGGGCGAAGCUUUUGUGACGGUACCUGCAGAAGAAGCACCGGCUAACUACGU
rnacentral:rRNA from 1 species